rnacentral:rRNA from 1 species
GAUGAACGCUAGCGGCAGGCCUAAUACAUGCAAGUCGAACGGUAACAUGAGUAGCAAUACUUGAUGACGAGUGGCGCACGGGUGCGUAACACGUAUGUAAUCUUCCCACAACUGGGGGAUAGCCCGGAGAAAUCCGGAUUAAUACCCCAUAACCCAGCGAGGUGGCAUCACCUUUCUGGUAAAUCUCCGGAGGUUGUGGAUGAACAUGCGUCCGAUUAGCUAGUUGGCGGGGUAACGGCCCACCAAGGCUACGAUCGGUAGGGGUACUGAGAGGUUAAACCCCCACACGGGUACUGAGACACGGACCAGACUCCUACGGGAGGCAGCAGUAAGGAAUAUUGGACAAUGGAGGCAACUCUGAUCCAGCCAUGCCGCGUGAAGGAUGAAGGCGCUAUGCGUUGUAAACUUCUUUUGAACGGGAAAAAACCCCUUUACGUGUAAAGGGUUGAUUGUACCGUUAGAAUAAGGGUCGGCUAACUUCGUGCCAGCCGCCGCAGUAACAC